GGUGAAGAUACAGUUAAUUUGAUCCUUGUUGAAUCCUUUGGCUUUCCACAGGUUGCUGCUGAAUCUGCAGUAUAUGGCAUGUUUUACCGCACACCAAGGAAAGUGGAAACUUAUAAAAUAUUUCGGUACGUUGACAUAAGUUUCAGUCUGCCGGAGGUAUCUGUAAGACUAGUUGAUGAAGAAAAGAGUGAUGGCUUAACAAAGAAGGCUUUUAGGCAGGGAGUAGUUAUUGGAGA